rnacentral:rRNA from 1 species
UACGAAGGGGGCUAGCGUUGUUCGGAAUUACUGGGCGUAAAGCGCGCGCAGGCGGCUAUCCAAGUCAGUGGUGAAAGCCCGGAGCUCAACUCCGGAACUGCCAUUGAAACUGUUUAGCUUGAGGAUGAGAGAGGUGAGUGGAAUUCCCAGUGUAGAGGUGAAAUUCGUAGAUAUUGGGAAGAACACCGGUGGCGAAGGCGGCGACCUGGUCCAUUACUGACGCUGAGGCGCGACAGCGUGGGGAGCAAACAGG